rnacentral:rRNA from 1 species
UUGGAGGGCAAGUCUGGUGCCAGCAGCCGCGGUAAUUCCAGCUCCAAUAGCGUAUAUUAAAGUUGUUGCAGUUAAAAAGCUCGUAGUUGAAUUUCGGGGUUCUACCGUUGGUCGGGCUUUGUCUGUACUGGUGUGUAGAAUUUCUACCUUCUGGGGAACCAUCAUGCUAUUAAUUUAGCGUGGUGGGAAACCAGGACCUUUACCUUGAAAAAAUUAGUGUGUUCAAAGCAGGCUUAUGUCUGAAUACAUUAGCGUGGGAUAAUAGAAUAGGACGGUGGUCCUGUUUUGUUGGUUUCUGAAUCACCGUAAUGAUUAAUAGGGAUAGUUGGGGGCAUUAGUAUUCAAUUGUCAGAGGUGAAAUUCUUGGAUUUAUUGAAGACUAACUUCUGCGAAAGCAUUUGCCAAGGAUGUUUUCAUUAAUCAAGAACGAAAGUUAGGGGAUCGAAGACGAUCAGAUACCGUCGUAGUCUUAACCAUAAACUAUGCCGACUAGGGAUCGGACGAUGUUAGUUUUUCUUGACUCGUUCGGCGCCUUACGGGAAAC